rnacentral:rRNA from 1 species
GAUGAACGCUGGCGGCGUGCUUAACACAUGCAAGUCGAACGAUCGCAAGAUAGUGGCGCACGGGUGAGGAACACGUAGCUAACCUGCCUUUGGGUCUGGGAUAACGUCGCGAAAGUGACGCUAAGACCGGAUAAGCUCCCGGGUUGUAGAGACCAGAGAGAAAAGGGGCAAGACGCCCGAAGAGGGGCUGCGGCGCAUCAGCUAGUUGGUGGGGUAAAGGCUUACCAAGGCAACGACGCGUAAGGGGUCUGAGAGGAUGAUCCCUCACACUGGGACUGAGACACGGCCCAGACUCCUACGGGAGGCAGCAGUGAGGAAUAUUGCACAAUGGGGGCAACCCUGAUGCAGCGACGCCGCGUGGGUGAUGACGGCCU